rnacentral:rRNA from 1 species
UACGUAGGGCGCAAGCGUUGUCCGGAAUUAUUGGGCGUAAAGAGCUCGUAGGCGGUUUGUCGCGUCUGCCGUGAAAACCCGAGGCUUAACCUCGUGGCUUGCGGUGGAUACGGGCAGACUAGAGGUAGGUAGGGGAGAAUGGAAUUCCCGGUGUAGCGGUGAAAUGCGCAGAUAUCGGGAGGAACACCGGUGGCGAAGGCGGUUCUCUGGGCCUUACCUGACGCUGAGACGCGAAAGCGUGGGGAGCAAACAGG